rnacentral:snoRNA from 16 species
GGCCCACAUUGGAGUUGUGUCCUGGCCCCAGCAGUGGCCCUGUCUGCACACUCGCGUGGGCCAAGA